GGAGGAUAUAGCUCAGUGGUGGAGUGUGUGCCUGGCAUGCACGAGGUCCUGGGUUCAAUCCCCAGUACCUCCA